GGAAUAAAAGUCGUAACAAGGUUUCCGUAGGUGAACCUGCGGAAGGAUCAUUCAUAAUAAAGUGUUUUAUGGCACUUUUUAAAAAUCCAUAUCCACCUUGUGUGCAAUGUUAGAUCUCGUCAAUCUUGGCGAGAUUUUUAUACAUCAACUCAUUCUUUAACUAAUUUGUCUGAAAAAUAUUAUGAAUACUUAAUUCAAAAUACAACUUUCAACAACGGAUCUCUUGGCUCUC
rnacentral:misc_RNA from 1 species